rnacentral:rRNA from 1 species
UACGGUCAAAUCACGCUGAAAACACCGGUUCUCGUGCGAUCACCGAAGUUAAGCAUCGUAGAGCCAGGUCAGUACUUAGAUGGGGGACCGCUUGGGAAUACCUGGUACUGUAAG